rnacentral:rRNA from 1 species
UACGGGAGGCAGCAGUGAGGAAUAUUGGUCAAUGGGCGCGAGCCUGAACCAGCCAAGUAGCGUGCAGGAUGACGGCCCUAUGGGUUGUAAACUGCUUUUAUACGGGGAUAAAGUGAGGGACGUGUCCCUUUUUGUAGGUACCGUAUGAAUAAGGACCGGCUAAUUCCGUGCCAGCAGCCGCGGUAAU